GGUAGUUGCCAUGUCAUAACGUAGAGAGCAAUUGAACUGCAGAGAGGGAGCUCUGUCCAAAGCCAAGCCAUGCUAGAUGGGAUUCCUGUUUAGACAAUGAGCAAGAACAUCCUGUGAUUUCUCUGUGACUGAGCAAGUAUCAUGUUCCUGCUUUGGAUAUUAGCAGUGUCACUGUUCUAAGGAGAAAACUUCUCUGUUUCUCAUCAGAGUACAUCAAAUGCAGCACUCCUUCUGGUCAUUUGACUUGACCCGUAAAUCUACUGCAAGCAAUAAAAUAGGAAGAGAACUGCCAUUGAUGAAGGCCCAAAGACUACUCAAGAGCACUGCAGGGAAUGAAUCUGCGCAAGUUACUGAAGCUGUGAAGAAAAGCAAAAAUGUUGAGAACUUGCCACUUCUCAGAGUGUCUCAGGCAGGAGCAAAAAGGUACAGCAGAAACUGCCCUGGUAAACCUCCAACUUAGGGAUAGUGAAGGGGGAAAUGCUGAUAGCGAGAGUAUGUUUGUUUGAAUUUCAGUCCCUUUCAAGGAUUGCAAUUCAUAAAUUGUUGCAAGCAUUUUAGCCACUUUUUAACUGUUUAUUCUUGUGGGAGUUUGUAUGGAAUACCAAUACUGUACCAGUAGUAAGACUAGUAGAAAAACUGAAGGAAGUAACUAAGGCCUAAAAAGAAUGAAAGGACUAAUAAGGUGUAUGAAAACUUUCCUAAGUUUGUGGCAGCUUACAAAGGCCCUCUUAUGGGUCAUCAAAGUAUACAGUUGUUCCCUGGUGACUAGAUAACAUAUAUGUUAUAUUUACUGUUCUUUCUUUACAGAAGCUAUAGAUUCCAUUUGCUAACGAAUCUGUAAUGAAAACAUAUUAUAUGAUUACAGCACACUGUAAACGUGGCUUUUCCUUCUAUCAUUACUUGACAGAUAAUAAAAGACUGUAGUUUAUACCUGAGGCA
rnacentral:lncRNA from 1 species